UGCCAGCCGCCGCGGUAAUACGGGAGUGGCAAGCGUUAUCCGGAAUUAUUGGGCGUAAAGCGUCCGUAGGCGUUUCAAUAAGUCAUAUGUUAAAGACACCGGCUCAACCGGUGGCCUGCAUUUGAAACUGUUGAAAUAGAGUAUAGGAGAGGAAAGUGGAAUUCCUGGUGUAGCGGUGACAUGCGUAGAUAUCAGGAGGAACAUCAAUGGCGAAGGCAGCUUUCUGGCCUAUUACUGACGCUGAGGGACGAAAGCGUGGGGAGCGAACAGGAUUAGAUA
rnacentral:rRNA from 1 species